UGCAUGUGUGAUGGAGUAAAUGAUAGUGAUGGUGAAAAUGCAUAAGUGAUAAUAAAAUUUACUUCUCAUUGCUCCUCAUAUUGCUAUCUCUCCUCCUCUUUGAUCUUUGCUUUGGGAGAACAUGGGCUAUCUUUUUCUCUCUUUUUUUUAAGUGGGUAGUAGAUACCCCUAAUUCUACUGUCGGACACUUGUCCAGUUUUUCCGCUCAAGUGGGCAUCUUUGUACCCCUAAUUCUACUUCGGACACUUGUCCAUUUUUACCUCUCAUCUCACUCUUUUUCUUUCUUUUUCGAGGUUCCGGGCACUUGCCCCUUUUUAUUUCCUCGUAUAUUUUUGCAUAACCCAUGCCUCUUCUGUAUUGAAUCUUUUUUAGAGAGAGAAUAACAAUAUUUGGGACAGUGAGUGAUAAUAUUUUUAGCAAUUUUAAUGAAUGGUGGUGGAUGCUGUGGUAGAUGUGUGCAAGUGAUUAUCUUAAUUUAACCACGU
rnacentral:lncRNA from 1 species